AGCAGCCGCGGUAAUUCCAGCUCCAAUAGCGUAUAUUAAAGUUGUUGCAGUUAAAAAGCUCGUAGUUGAAUUUCGGGGUUAGUAGGUUGGUCAUGCCUCUGGUAUGUACUGGUCUCACUGAUUCCUCCUUCCUGAUGAACCUUAAUGCCAUUAAUUUGGUGUUUUGGGGAAUUUGGACUGUUACUUUGAAAAAAUUAGAGUGUUUAAAGCAAGCUAACGCUUGAAUACAUUAGCAUGGAAUAAUGAAAUAGGACGUUCGAUCCUAUUUUGUUGGUUUCUAGGAUUGACGUAAUGAUUAAUAGGGAUAGUUGGGGGCAUUAGUAUUCAAUUGUCAGAGGUGAAAUUCUUGGAUUUAUUGAAGACUAACUACUGCGAAAGCAUUUGCCAAGGAUGUUUUCAUUAAUCAAGAACGAAAGUUAGGGGAUCGAAGACGAUCAGAUACCGUCGUAGUCUUAACCAUAAACUAUGCCGACUAGGGAUCGGAUGAUGUUAAUUUUCUAAUGACUCA
rnacentral:rRNA from 1 species